rnacentral:rRNA from 1 species
CCUACGGGAGGCAGCAGUGGGGAAUAUUGCGCAAUGGGCGAAAGCCUGACGCAGCGACGCCGCGUGAGGGAUGAAGGUCUUCGGAUCGUAAACCUCUGUCAGCAGGGAAGAACGGUCACUGUGCUAAUCAGCAGUGAAUUGACGGUACCUACAAAGGAAGCACCGGCUAACUCCGUGCCAGCAGCCGCGGUAAUACGGAGGGUGCGAGCGUUAAUCGGAAUUACUGGGCGUAAAGCGCUCGUAGGCGGUAUGUCAAGUCAAGGGUGAAAGCCGCGGGCUCAACGUGGGAACUGCCUUUGAAACUGGCAGACUGGAGUGUGGGAGAGGAUAGUGGAAUUCCAGGUGUAGGAGUGAAAUGCGUAGAUAUCGGGAGGAACAUCAGUGGCGAAGGCGGUUUGCUGGACAGCAACUGACGGUGAGGCGCGAAAGCGUGGGGAGUAAACAGGAUUAGAUACCCCAGUAGUC